UACAGAGGGGGCAAGCGUUGUUCGGAAUUACUGGGCGUAAAGGGCGCGUAGGCGGCCUGUUAAGUCGAACGUGAAAUCCCCGGGCUCAACCCGGGAACUGCGUCCGAUACUGGCAGGCUUGAAUCCGGGAGAGGGAUGCGGAAUUCCAGGUGUAGCGGUGAAAUGCGUAGAGAUCCGGAAGAACACCGGUGGCGAAGGCGGCCUGCUGGGCAGUAGCUGACGCUGAGGCGCGACAGCGUGGGGAGCAAACAGG
rnacentral:rRNA from 1 species